AAUCAGACAGUCAUUUUUUUCUAGAGUCCUUUUCAGCACCCCAGAGGGAGUUGUAUCCUUUUGUGUGUGCCCUGUGGAAUUUUCAUGGCAACAUAAGUUGUAUUUCUUCAUGACUCACUGCCAUAGGAAGACCACCCAAAACAUACCCUCUUCUGUAACCCAAAUCUCAGCGUGUGUCCUUAUUUUCCUUGUUUUCAGCAUGUCCAAGUGAAGCCAUUAAGUAGGUAAUAUACUGUUAGACACAGAUCGUGGUGCUUGGGAAAACAACACCCAAGCCUCGUGAUUAAUAAGCACUGUUAAUUGUUAAGCUGCUCUUGCUGGUGUCUGACCUCACGGGGUUUGUGCUGUGACAGCUCUUUCAUGUUGAUGAGGUAAAUGAGUCUCUGCCAUGAUGGCCGGGAGAAGCCAGGACAGAGUAUCAGAUCGUGUUUCACCAGGAAAACAAGGUUGAUUUACUGUGUUACACGAGGGUGAAGUGGACCCAGCACCACUGCACCCCGUGCUUUGAUUCCCUUGUAUGCUAAAUAUGCAAGCACAAAACAGCUUUAACACAAUUUUUUACCUAGAAAGGAGCCUGGGGCUGCAUCCAAGUACAUUUAACAUGUGAAAAUUGAGCUGCUUUGAACUUGUAUGUUUUUGAUAACUGCUUGGUAUGCUUCCUGGAGGAUCACCUGUAGGCUUUUCUUUCCAAAUCCUAAUCCCUUUGAUUGAGUGCCAGGACAGAUAGCUCUCAUUGAAUAACUCCAGUCUCAUAAUUCUUCCUUCAUUCAGAGUUGAAAGGGAACAGCUCCAGAUUCAAUAGGCACAUCCUCAGAUUUAGCUGAAGUCAUUCAAACACUUUAAAACUGAAAUUGUUUUGUUCUGAAGUAGGGUUCAGUUGGGCUACUGAAUGUUUACACAAGCCAGUUGCUGCCAGGAACUGUAGGAUGGGGAAGAAAACCACACUUCUCCCCGCCUCCACCCAGCCCCCUUGCCUUGCUUCUCUCUGCCUCUGUAACCAAGAAGGAUUACAAGGACGACUUUGAGCGUUAGAAGUUUCAAAGCAACCUGGCAGGAUUGUUUGUAAACGUGGGCAUAAGAACGUGCUUGACUCUUCUUGUUUUCUGUCCUCCAUGAGACCAGGCUGAACACUCCUCCCCUCUCCUCCCAACCCCCUUUUGGAGGAAGGAAAACAACCAUGUUCUUUUUAUCUUUACAAAUGUGCCUGGUGGGGACUAAUCUAAACCAGUUCAAGAUGCUUUUGCUUAAGCCUGUUUAGAGGAACGGAAGGUGCUGCAGAAAUGGAAAUAGAGUGGUAUAUGGGCCUCUUUGCCACCCCGCUCCUGAGCUCGCUGCCUCUUUUUUGUUUUUGUGGGUUUCUUGGCACCUACCUAGAUUUCUGCUGAGAUCUCUGUUUCAGGUCUUUUCAGAGAUCAUGUUUCCUAAAAGAUGGUUCCUUUCUGCUGGACAUCCUGUCUCUGUCCUAUUUGGCCAGAUAGUACUUCAGUUGGGAAAAGCCAUCUUUCUCUUCGUGCCUGGUGCCCUAUUUCAGAAGGAAGCCUGAAAAGUCAUUUCCAUAUUCUGUGUGUGAUUGCGUCCUGCCUAGCUUAUCACAGUGGUUGUUCCCUCUCGGAUGAACAAUUCCUACCCUCCUCUUUGCCCAGCAGAUGAAGGCAAGGAUUGUAACCCAUUAUUAGAGUAUUGAGGACCUGAGUUCCCCACUCAUGUUGAACUUGAGGCAAGACUGGGCGGUUUAUUCCCCUCUGGCUACUCUCCCACUUGUAAAAUGAGGCGACAUCUCUAAUCAUUGACACCAAACAAGAACAUAGCCUAAUAAUAAAAUGAAUGGUGUUAUAUGGUCAUGAAGAAGGUUCAAGACUGGAAUCUACUCCAUAAGGAAGGACACAAAAAGAUUCAACAGUGAUUUAGACAAAUCUCAUCUGAACACAUUUUACAGAUGCCUGUUGAACUAAAAGUUCUGUCUAGGACUGUAGUAAGAUUUGACCCGGCUUAGCCUGGGAAUUUUGACCCACUGAUGGUAGAAGUUUAUUAACAGCCCUAUUCAUUUAGAUCCUUCCCUGUUUCUACUUUUCUCGUUCUCUCCCCGGAGGGUUUUUAUGACGUUGUAAUCAUUUAUAAUUUUAAAAUGUCUUCAAUCGUGCUUAAAAACAGCACUUGAUUUUAAUGGGUACUGCUUAACCAUAGAAAGAUUGUGUCUGUAUUACUGUCGGUUCUUACAACAAUACUUUGGAACGAAAGUAGAAAGUUUAUGACACAUUUUAUUAUAUUCCUAAAUGUGAAAGAGGAUUCUAAUUUAAAAAUAAGUGGCCAUACUUUUUAAUUCUUAUUUAGCCUCUGUAGCUGUUUUAAUAUCCCUUUUAUGGUUGACUGGUCGAUGUUUUAAAACAAGUUCUUCAGGGACUCUGCCCAUUAGUCUUUGGCAAUAAAAUCUGAACUUUACUAAAAUAAAACAUGAAGCCAUGGAGUAAUUAAGAGGGGAACUUUCAGAGAUGACCGUGAAUAUGAAAUACAGUGAUUUGUAUUAUUAAUGGAUUUGGGGAAAACCAGCCCACCUCUUUUAAGCUCAACUAUGUGUAUUUGGGGGGUUUUAUAUUUUUAAUUUAUUUCUUUGUUUCUCUCAAGGCAGUAGGGGUUCCAUCGCAAGCUCUUAAGAUCUACCAAUCCUCCUUUUGUAGCCUGCUGCUUCUGAAUAUGAGCCUUUCUUUUUUCAUUUUAUUUGGAAAAUGGGGUGAUGUCACUUAGGAAAGCAUUUUUCCCAAAAGUGGUUUCAGGAACCAGAAUCUGGUGAAGUGUUAUUUAAAAGCGAUAACAUAGUAAAGCUCUGCUUUGUGCUUCAAAUAAUUGUAGGAUUUACGGGAUAUAUCCCUAACCUGUUCAGUUUUAUGGAAGGACAAAAUACAGGGAUUCAUUUUAUCAUAGUUUCUUAAAAACUUUGAAACCCAGUUGACAGUCAUUUCUCUAGCAUUAUAAUAAGCUCUUUGUGUUUAUAAACCUAGUUCAUAGUAAUUUUUGGAGUGCUGCAAUUUGGUAGUUAUUUAAUUUGCAAAUGGGAUUGGCCUCUCUAACCUCUAAAGGAACUAGUUCCUUUUAAUGCUUUAAAACUUUCAUUGACUCUCAAUUGCCAACUGCAGGAAAAAGUUCAGGUUUUAAAAGUCCUUACAUGCGUUUCAGCCUCCUCUCCCUGUUUCCUUUAUGAACAGCCCCCUCCCACUCCCUUUCUUUCAAUGGUAGGUCUGCUGCAGAACAUUCUGCAUCUCUUAAACUUUAUAUGCACUGUAUUUUUCAGUCUCCAUUCCUCUGCUCAUAUUGUGUUCUCUCCAUGGAUUCUUUCUUUUUAUUAUUUAAUUUUUUUUAAGGGAUAGGGUCUCACUCUGUUGCCCCAGGCUGGAGUACAGUGGCACCAUCAUAGCUCGCUCGUAGCUCACUGUGGCCUCCAACUCCUG
rnacentral:lncRNA from 10 species